AACGAACGCUGGCGGCAUGCCUAACACAUGCAAGUCGAACGAGACCUUCGGGUCUAGUGGCGCACGGGUGCGUAACGCGUGGGAACCUGCCCUUAGGUUCGGAAUAACUCCCCGAAAGGGGUGCUAAUACCGGAUCAUGUCUUCGGACCAAAGAUUUAUCGCCUUUGGAUGGGCCCGCGUUGGAUUAGCUAGUUGUUAGGGUAAAAGCCUACCAAGGCGACGAUCCAUAGCUGGUCAGAGAGGAUGAUCAGCCACACUGGGACUGAGACACGGCCCAGACUCCUACGGGAGGCAGCAGUGGGGAAUAUUGGACAAUGGGCGAAAGCCUGAUCCAGCAAUGCCGCGUGAGUGAUGAAGGCCUUAGGGUUGUAAAGCUCUUUUACCCGGGAUGAUAAUGACAGUACCGGGAGAAUAAGCUCCGGCUAACUCCGUG
rnacentral:rRNA from 1 species